rnacentral:rRNA from 1 species
UACGUAGGUGGCAAGCGUUGUCCGGAAUUAUUGGGCGUAAAGCGCGCGCAGGCGGAUAGGUCAGUCUGUCUUAAAAGUUCGGGGCUUAACCCCGUGAUGGGAUGGAAACUGCCAAUCUAGAGUAUCGGAGAGGAAAGUGGAAUUCCUAGUGUAGCGGUGAAAUGCGUAGAUAUUAGGAAGAACACCAGUGGCGAAGGCGACUUUCUGGACGAAAACUGACGCUGAGGCGCGAAAGCCAGGGGAGCGACCGGU